rnacentral:rRNA from 1 species
UGGGGAAUCUUAGACAAUGGGGGCAACCCUGAUCUAGCCAUGCCGCGUGAGUGAUGAAGGCCUUAGGGUUGUAAAGCUCUUUCAGCUGGGAAGAUAAUGACGGUACCAGCAGAAGAAGCCCCGGCUAACUCCGUGCCAGCAGCCGCGGUAAUACGGAGGGGGCUAGCGUUGUUCGGAAUUACUGGGCGUAAAGCGCACGUAGGCGGACUGGAAAGUUGGGGGUGAAAUCCCGGGGCUCAACCUCGGAACUGCCUUCAAAACUAUCAGUCUGGAGUUCGAGAGAGGUGAGUGGAAUUCCGAGUGUAGAGGUGAAAUUCGUAGAUAUUCGGAGGAACACCAGUGGCGAAGGCGGCUCACUGGCUCGAUACUGACGCUGAGGUGCGAUAGCGUGGGGAGCAAACA